UGUGCUUCUGCCCACUUUACUGCCAGGUGUAUUGCUACGAGUUCGCACUUUGCUGUCGCCAAACCGUCCACCAGACGCUUCUGUUCAACGAUGACUUUUUCUGGUCGUUUGGUGUGUACGUCGUAACUUCUGGAAGCAGAGCCUGCCAUGGCGGGUGCUUGCUGAUGGAUAAUUUCUCGGCUGAUUUCGGAUGAUGGUCCAAGGUGUUUGUCACGGACUCGACUCUGGAGAGAAAACACUGCUUGGCGUUUUUGAACCACUCUUCUUUUUCUGCUAGCAGGAAGUUUAAGUUUCGGUGCUUCUGCCAGAUGAAGAUGUCAUCGGCGUACAUUCCCGACAUACAGGAGCGGCGUUUCUUGGCAAUGUCGUUAAUGAGGAUAAUGAACAAUAACGGGCUGAUGACACUUCCUUGUGGUGUGCCGUUUAGGCAGGAGAAGAGCUCGGACCGAGUUCCAUUUAACGAUACUUGUGCUGUCCGACCGACCAAAAAGGAGAUCAUGUCGUAGGCUUUUUCAAGAUCGAGCGUGACUGCCAUCACAUAUCCUUUGUUGUUUAGGGCUGAUUGGACCGAGUUUUCGAGCCUCACUAAAUUGUCCAUAGUCCCUCUGUUUCGUCGGAAACCACUUUGAUUUGGGGCGAGGAGGAGAUUUUUCUCAAGGUACCAAGAGAGUCUGAUCUUAAUCAUUCUCUCUAGGACCUUGCAUGGCACCGGGGUAAGCGAGAUCGGCCGGUAUGACUCCGGUUUCGAUGCAGUUUUGUUUGGCUUCAACAAGGGGAUGAUCAGCGAGUGCUUCCAUCCUUUCGGUAGCGUGCCUUGUUUCCAGGACUCGUUGUACAGGGCCAGU